CCUACGGGAGGCAGCAGUGAGGAAUAUUGGUCAAUGGGCGCGAGCCUGAACCAGCCAAGUAGCGUGAAGGAUGACUGCCCUACGGGUUGUAAACUUCUUUUAUAAAGGAAUAAAGUGAGGCACGUGUGCCUUUUUGUAUGUACUUUAUGAAUAAGGAUCGGCUAACUCCGUGCCAGCAGCCGCGGUAAUACGGAGGAUCCGAGCGUUAUCCGGAUUUAUUGGGUUUAAAGGGAGCGUAGAUGGGUUGUUAAGUCAGUUGUGAAAGUUGCGGCUCAACCGUAAAAUUGCAAUUGAUACUGGCAGCCUUGAGUACAGUUGAGGUAGGCGGAAUGCGUGGUGUAGCGGUGAAAUGCAUAGAUAUCACGCAGAACUCCGAUUGCGAAGGCAGCUUACUAAGCCAUAACUGACACUGAAGCACGAAAGCGUGGGGAUCAAACAGGAUUAGAUACCCCUGUAGUC
rnacentral:rRNA from 1 species